rnacentral:tRNA from 1 species
AGGAUAAUAGUUAAAAAUAACAUUUAAAUUGCAAUUAAAAAGUAUUGAAAAUAAUCAAUUUAUCUUA